CCCAGGCUAGCCUAACCCGGCUAUUACGCGACUAAUCUUAGGCGCAUCCGCUUUCCUAAAUACAGACAAAUAUAAUGUGAUUGGUUAUUCGUAUUUCAUAAAAUUAAUGAAUUUUACGAGCUAAAAAAAUUAACUUACAUAGAAGCACAGAACUACUGAGUAUCCCCUAGUCUGUACAAUUACAUUAGAUGACAUAAGAGUUAUUGUUAGGGGGUAAAAUUAGUGCCAGCAGCUGCGGUUAGACUAUGCCCUUUCUGUUCAGCAAGGCCUACUAAACUCGCCCUUAGCUCCAGCAGAGUGGUAGAAAAGUAAGCGUUAAGCUCUGCGUAUUUAGUAGAAGGCGCCUAUUAAAAUAGGAUUAGAUACCCUAGUAUUUUUGUUUAAUUCACCUUAUAAAUAAAGAUAAAAUGAAAAUAUUUGGCGGCCCUAGGCUAUUAGAGGGGCUUGUCUCUAAACGAUAAACCGCGUUAAAUCUCACUUAAAUAAAUUUUGUAUACCUUCAUGUAAGCUGUCUUGGAUAGAAAGAGCUGUAAAUAGUAGAUCAAGGUGCAGAGAUGUCUAAGUACGAUUAGCCACAAUACCUAUCAAUACACGAAUAUAAACCCUAUCAGGCGGAUUUAAUUUUAAUAGUUAAGCAGAUGAAUAUUCAGCCUGGGGUGUUCAGAUCGCCCGUCACUCCCCAUGGGAUAAGUCGAAACAAAGUAAGCUCACUGGAAAGCGAGCCU